CCUACGGGCGGCAGCAGUGAGGAAUAUUGGUCAAUGGGCUUACGCCUGAACCAGCCAAGUCGCGUGAGGGAAGACUGCCCUAUGGAUUGUAAACCUCUUUUGUCAGGGAGCAAUUGGCGCUACGUGUAGCGGUAUGGAGAGUACCUGAAGAAAAAGCAUCGGCUAACUCCGUGCCAGCAGCCGCGGUAAUACGGGGGAUGCGAGCGUUAUCCGGAUUUCUUGGGUUUAAAGGGUGCGUAGGCGGAAUGCAAAGUCAGCGGUAAAAUAUCGGGGCUCAACAUCGCUCUGCCGUUGAAACUGGUGUUCUUGAGUGGGCGAGAAGUAUGCGGAAUGCGUGGUGUAGCGGUGAAAUGCAUAGAUAUCACGCAGAACUCCGAUUGCGAAGGCAGCAUACCGGCGCCCAACUGACGCUGAAGCACGAAAGCGUGGGUAUCGAACAGGAUUAGAUACCCCUGUAGUC
rnacentral:rRNA from 1 species